rnacentral:rRNA from 1 species
AACAUAAUAAUUACAACUUUCAACAACGGAUCUCUUGGUUCUGGCAUCGAUGAAGAACGCAGCGAAAUGCGAUACGUAGUGUGAAUUGCAGAAUUCAGUGAAUCAUCGAAUCUUUGAACGCACAUUGCGCCCUUUGGUAUUCCAAAGGGCAUG